CCCGCCGCAGGAUGCCCACGAAACUCAAGUUCGCGCUGAAAUAUUUCAGUCUCCGCGCCAAUUCCAGAGGAUUCGCGCGAUGUCUUCUUUUUUUCCUGUCUGUGCUGGCCCACAGGAAAAGAAAUAGAGCAGAUAAGGCACCCUCGCUGGGAAAAUUCCCCACUCCCUCGUCUUCUCCAAUCUUCUGCACAUACCGCCGCCGCCCUCAUCCUUCCUUCCGCCGUGGCUGGCCGCCGGCCCGCCGCCCUCCUGUGCCGCCUCCUUGUUCCACCGCCUUCCUCCUUAGAUCUCCACCGCCACCGGCUAUCUCCACCGACCUCCACCAUCACCGGCCUGCGGAUUCAUCCACGUCGGCGCCCAAUUUCAAUCUCAGACCUCCACCGCCGCCUCCCCUACCUCUGUCUGCUGGUGCAGCCACCUCCCUUCUCCUCCGACCUACACCGCCAUCGCCUGCCCCUACCUCAGUUCGCAAGCGCCGCCCACAUCACUUCCCUGAACUCCACCGCCGCCACUUGGCAGCACAACUUCUAUGUGCGAGCGCCUCCCCCUCCCCUGUUCCCUUCUCCGACCGCCACCUCAGUUCGCCACAUCUCGUGCUACCUCUUCAACUUCAACCCCGAUCUGUCAGCUGCCUCUCCUUCCGUCGACCUUGAGAGCAGCGACGGCCUCCUCUUCAUUUCUAGGCCACUAGCUGAGUUUUAGGUGCUACCAAUCAGAGUAUUGUGAAGUUUGUUUAAGUGUACUUCUACAAAUCAGAUUUAGUUAUGAACUUUGUUUAGUGUACUACUUAAUUUGCUAUUUCAUUUAUCUGAACUGAGAGUAUUCUGAAGUUAGUUUAAUUACGAACUGUGUGCAAGUGUGUAAUGCUUAGUUUGCUAUUUAACUGAUCUGAACAUAGAUUAGUGUGUAAUAGUUCUGUACAUUUGAAGGAUAUUGGAUAUGCUAAAUAUUAAUUAUUUUUUCCAUUCUUGAUGUGCUGCAUGUGGUAGGAUCUAACUCGAAUCUGCCGUGCUGUCCCAAGCUAUUGUGGAACCUGCAGCCCAUUGAUACAAUUUCUGCAUCUUGCCUUCCUUGACAAAUAAUUUUGAUGCUGCUAUUUUGCAUCUUCAGAAAUUUUCGUGCAGAAAGGAAGGAAUUAUACUCCUUGAUUGCAUUCAAGCGCAAGGCAGAACGGUAAGCAACUCCCAAAAGACCAACUGUGAUGGCACUGAUGGUACACAGUUGGGAGUCAUUCUCAAGCGAGAAUACCUGGGUCUGGUUGAGGCCACAUUAGAUUGGGAAGAUCAUUAUCUUAUACAUGAAAGUGUUACAAGUGUUGACUGGGUGAAACAAGAAUUUUAAGCACGGGAACACAGAUUCAUCACAUGAUAGCUUGGAGGAUGCUACUAUGGAUGACCUUGUUGGCCAUGGCAACAAUGGAGGUAGAAAUUGCAAGAACAUUGGUGGUGGUGAAAGGAACAACUUUUGCUACAAUCGUGAUGGUGAUAAUAACUGUGCUUCUAGAGGAGUAUCACAGAAGUGUAUUUGCACUUCAAACAAUUAACACUCUUAUGGUAUUUUAGAUCUUUUUGGUAGAUAAUGCUCCUGAUCGUGAACCUGUAUGAAUUAGAAGUUCAUGUAUUUUGUUGUUACAUUGCAUUACCAUGUGCAAUGUGUGGAUACAAACUAGAGUGGGGGUGCCAUGUAUCUGUGCCAUUGUUAUUACUUGCUUUUGGGCAAGUCUGUACAUGUCAAGCAACAACUUUUACUGUAUUGUUAUACUUAUAGACGCUAUGUACUGGAUA